rnacentral:rRNA from 1 species
AUGUCAUACUGUAAUUGGUCAACAGAAAGAAUUAAUAGAAGGCAUCACAUCAUAUUAAUCCUGUUCGGUGUUGAUCUCCACCAGACAACUGUUGUAAAAAAAGACCAAUACAUUUAUCACAAAUAUUAUCAUACACAGUACCCUUCUAUAACUUACAUCAUAGAAGUUGUACAAGUUAUGCAGUUGCAAUUUUUGGAAACAACAUGGCAGCUCCGAAAGAAUGUUCCAUCCCACAAAACAUCGAUUCUUAAGAAAAUACAAUUGAAAAAAUAUUACCACUUAUCAGCUAAGAAGAUACAGAGCCUUCUGCACACAGUCUUCUCUUCAGUUUCUUGA